rnacentral:rRNA from 1 species
UUAAGAGUUUGAUCCUGGCUCAGGAUGAACGCUGGCGGUGUGCCUUAAGCAUGCAAGUCGAACGGUUUUGUAGCAAUACAAGACAGUGGCAGACGGGUGAGUAACACGUAGGAAUCUACCUUCUUGUGGGGGAUAGCUCGCCGAAAGGCGGGGUAAUACCGCAUGUGAUCGCAAGAUCAAAGCCGCAAGGCGCGAGAAGAGGAGCCUGCGUCCUAUCAGCUAGUUGGCGGGGUAAAAGCCCACCAAGGCUAUGACGGGUAGCCGAUGUGAGAGCAUGAUCGGCCACAAGGUAACUGAGACACGGUGCCUACACCUACGGGUGGCAGCAACUGGGAAUCUUGCGCAAUGGACGAAAGUCUGACGCAGCGACACCGCGUGUG